rnacentral:misc_RNA from 1 species
AAGUCGUAACAAGGUCUCCGUUGGUGAACCAGCGGAGGGAUCAUUAUCGAGUUUAUUCAACUCCCAAACCCUAUGUGAACUUACCACUUGUUGCUUCGGCGGCGCUCUGGCGUCGCCGGGGGCAUCAAACUCUUGUUUUUACAGCAUUCUCUGAGUGGCCGCAAGGCAAAAAACAAAUGAAUCAAAACUUUCAACAACGGAUCUCUUGGUUCUG